rnacentral:rRNA from 1 species
GAUGAACGCUGGCGGCGUGCCUAAUACAUGCAAGUCGAGCGAAUGGAUUGAGAGCUUACUCUUAUGAAGUUAGCGGCGGACGGGUGAGUAACACGUGGGUAACCUGCCCAUAAGACUGGGAUAACUCCGGGAAACCGGGGCAAAUACCGGAUAACAUUUUGAACCGCAUGGUUCGAAAUUGAAAGGCGGCUUCUGCAGUCACUUAUGGAUGGACCCGCGUCGCAUUAGCUAGUUGGUGGGGUAACGGCUAACCAAGGCAACGAUGCGUAGCCGACCUGAGAGGGUGAUCGGCCACACUGGGACUGAGACACGGCCCAGACUCCUACGGGAGGCAGCAGUAGGGAAUCUUCCGCAAUGGACGAAAGUCUGACGGAGCAACGCCGCGUGAGUGAUGAAGGCUUUCGGGUCGUAAAACUCUGUUGUUAGGGAAGAACAAGUGCUAGUUGAAUAAGCUGGCACCUUGACGGUACCUAACCAGAAAGCCACGGCUAACUACGUGCCAGCCGCCGCAGUAA